AGUUACUUUCUUGGCAAUUUCCAAGCCUUCAAGACCUUCAUUUUCAAUCAUUUUCAAGAUUUCAUUAUCAACUUCUACAUUUUCAUUCAUUUUAAAUUUUAAUUGUUCAUUAAUUAAGACUGUUAUUCUGAACGCAUAAGUGUUGCGAAAAGAAGCCUGUAACAUGCGCGGAGCGCUGUCAGAAAGACGACGAAAUUAUAAUAGAGUUGUCGCCGUUCCCCACCAGACGACACUAGCGUAAUAGGGAAGCCGUGAGAGGAAAAGUGGUGCACGCCUUGUGUGAUAUAUCGCACUUGUGCAGUCAGACAUGGGUUGGGACGAACUAUGGUGUGUUGGUGUUGUGUAUCGUUCCAUCAGUCAGAAGAGCAUCGUGUAUUUUAUCAUGAUUUUAUGGUUAAACUAAUUUUAUAGUUUUUACAUUGUAUAUAAAGAUUUUAACGGAUCUUACCUAUUUGAAACGCACAAUUAAAAGUACCCAGCUUUUUUAAAAUAGAUUUUGUAUCCUAAACUCAUUUGAGUUUCUGCUCCGUACUCUUUGAGAUGGGAAUCAAGAAAUGGGAAAGGGAUUUCUUUUUGCCUUGAAUUGUGGACUUCAAAUUAACUGCUCUGGGUGAAAAAGAGAUUUUCUUAGAACUUUUUAAAGAAAGUAAAGUGCUUCAUAUCUUGGAUUGCAUUUCAAUGUCCUCUGUGUAUUACUUCAGUACAGCCUGAUGGGUGAGAGCCUGAGAGGACAGGACAGUCUUACGGGUGCCUGAGCCUGAGAAUGGUCUCUUUUAAAACAAAGUUUUUGGUGAUUUUUUUAGAGUUUUUUAAAUGAUUUUUUGUUUCUAAACCUUCUUGUCCAGUUAAGCAUAUCCUCCUCUGGACCAAAUUAAAAUCUAUUUUUCUCAAAAUAUAAUAUUUUUAAAAUAUAAUGUAAGUACUGCCUUA